rnacentral:tRNA from 1 species
AAGGGGUUAGUUUAACUAAAAUAUUUGAUUUCGGCUCAAAAGCUUGUGGUUUAACCCCACAACCCCCUA